rnacentral:rRNA from 1 species
GAUGAACGCUGGCGGCGUGCCUAAUACAUGCAAGUCGAGCGAACAGACGAGGAGCUUGCUCCUCUGACGUUAGCGGCGGACGGGUGAGUAACACGUGGAUAACCUACCUAUAAGACUGGGAUAACUUCGGGAAACCGGAGCUAAUACCGGAUAAUAUAUUGAACCGCAUGGUUCAAUAGUGAAAGACGGUUUUGCUGUCACUUAUAGAUGGAUCCGCGCCGAAUUAGCUAGUUGGUAAGGUAACGGCUUACCAAGGCAACGAUGCGUAGCCGACCGGGGCGGGGGAUCGGCCACACGGGAACUGAGACGCGGUCCAGACUCCUACGGGAGGCAGCAGUAGGGAAUCUUCCGCAAUGGGCGAAAGCUUGACGGAGCAACGCCGCGUGAGUGAUGAAGGUCUUCGGAUCGUAAAACUCUGUUAUUAGUGAAGAACAAAUGUGUAAGUAACUAUGCACGUCUUGACGGUACCUAAUCAGAAAGCCACGGCUAACUACGUG